CCUCCUUUUCUAGUUGGGGUUUGGGUGCAGUCUCAGUCUCCCUCAUGCACAGCGGCGGAGGUGAAAAGCUCCAGGCCCUUGCUGUCAUGUCUUUGUUGCCUGGGGCUUCCAGCCUAUGGGCUCUGUCCUCAAGCGCUGGAGCACAG
ensembl:snoRNA